AUGGGGGGCUGCCACGCCAAGCCGCGCACCCGCGACGCCGACGGCGCAUCCCCGCCGCCACCCGCGCCGGCCACGCCCCCGCCGGCCUCCUCCACGGCGCCCGCCACGCCGGCCUCCAAGAAGCACUGGACGUCCUCCCCCUUCUUCCCCUUCUCCACGCCCAGCCCCAGCCCGGCGCACCACCUCUUCUCCUCCUCCGCGGCCUCCCCGAGGACCUCCUCCAAGUCCCCCGCCCCGGCGGGCUCCAAGUCCCCGGCGCCCACCACCCCGGCCAGGCGCCUCCUGCGCCUGCCCUUCCCGCCGCCCUCGCCCGCCAAGCACAUCCGCCAGGCGCUCGCGCGGAGGCACGGCCCGUCGCGCCCGGCGAUCCCCGAGGAGGGCGGCGACAGCGACGGCGGGAGGGGCCUCGACAAGGGCUUCGGCUUCAACAAGGGCUUCGCCGCCAAGUACGACCUCGGGGACGAGGUCGGGAGGGGCCACUUCGGCUACACCUGCGCCGCCAGGAUCAGGAAGGGCGCGCGCAAGGGGGACGCCGUCGCCGUCAAGGUCAUCCCCAAGGCCAAGAUGACAACAUCCAUUGCUAUAGAGGAUGUCCGGAGGGAGGUGAAAAUUUUGAAGGCUUUAGCAGGGCACAAGAACUUGGUUCAGUUUUAUGAUGCAUAUGAGGACAACGAAAAUGUCUACAUAGUCAUGGAGUUGUGUGAGGGCGGGGAGCUUCUGGAUAGAAUACUUUCCAGAGGUGGGAAGUACUCCGAGGAUGAUGCAAAGUCUGUCCUGGUCCAAAUAUUGAAUGUUGUCGCUUUUUGCCACAUCCAAGGAGUGGUUCACAGGGAUCUCAAACCAGAGAAUUUUCUUUUUACUUCGAAAGAUGAGAACUCUCAACUUAAGACAAUUGACUUUGGAUUAUCAGACUUUGUAAAACCAGAUGAGAGACUAAAUGAUAUAGUUGGAAGUGCUUAUUAUGUUGCUCCGGAAGUUCUACAUAGAUGCUAUAGCACAGAAGCGGAUGUAUGGAGUAUAGGUGUCAUUGCAUAUAUCCUCCUUUGUGGCAGCCGCCCUUUUUGGGCACGCACUGAAUCUGGCAUAUUCCGUUCUGUUCUCAAAGCUGACCCCAGUUAUAAUGAGGCACCUUGGCCUUCUCUAACUCCAGAAGCAAUGGACUUUGUUAAGCGCUUGCUGUGCAAGGAUCCACGUAGAAGGAUGACUGCAGCACAAGCUUUAGGUCAUCCAUGGAUUAGAAAUUACAAUGACAUCAAGAUGCCAUUGGACGUCCUUAUAUUCCGUCUUAUCAAAGCUUAUAUUCGUUCUUCAUCAUUACGUAAAGCUGCUCUGAAGGCUUUAUCGAAGACUUUGACUGUUGAUGAGCUUUUCUAUCUCAAAGGGCAGUUUUCCUUAUUAGAACCUGACAGAAAUGGAUGCAUAACUCUAGAUAAUAUCAGAAUGGCCUUAACAAGAGAAGCCACGGAUGCGAUGAAAGAAACACGAGUUCAGGAGAUUCUUGUCUCGUUGAGUGCUCUUCAGUACAGAAGAAUGGACUUCCAUGAGUUCUGUGCAGCUGCAGUAAGUGUUCACCAGCUUGAAGCAUUAGACAGAUGGGAGCAACAUGCGAGAUCAGCUUAUGAAAUUUUCGAGAAGGAUGGCAAUCGAGCCAUUGUAAUUGACGAACUAGCUUCAGAACUGGGUCUCAGCCCCUCGGUGCCGCUGCACGUUGUUCUGCAGGACUGGAUCCGGCACACCGAUGGGAAGCUCAGCUUCCUCGGGUUUGUCAAGUUGCUGCAUGGCAUGUCCAGCAGGUCCCUGUCAAAGAUGAGAUAG
rnacentral:rRNA from 1 species